ACACGUCACGUCAGCUGUUUUUUGUUUACAUCAGAUCGUUCUUUCUCCGCCAGAGUCAAGUUCAGCGCUGUUGUUUUGCUGUUUAAAUAUUUCACAUCGAUAUGUGAAAAAGCAGCGUUUGGCAAUCGAUGGGUAAACGAAUGAGUGAAACGGUUGUCGAUUCCGCCAUCGCACGACUGUGCUAGGCCUCUGUCCGCUCUGACCCAGACACACACUCUCUCCUUCACCAUGGGUGGUGCUGUGAGUGCUGGAGAGGACAACGAUGAACUGAUCGACAACCUGAAGGAGGCACACUACAUUCGUUCAGAGUUGGUUGAAAGGGCUUUCCGGGCCAUCGAUCGUGCCGAUUACUAUUUGGAGGAGUACAAGGACAGUGCUUACAAAGACCUGGCCUGGAGGCAUGGCAACCUCCACUUGUCCGCUCCCUGCAUCUAUUCGGAAGUGAUGGAGGCGCUGGAGCUCCAGCCUGGCCUUUCUUUCCUUAACCUAGGCAGUGGAACAGGCUACCUCAGCACCAUGGUGGGCCUCAUCCUGGGUCCAUUCGGUGUGAAUCACGGUGUUGAGCUGCAUGUAGAUGUGGUGGAGUAUGCCUACCAGAAACUCGACUACUUCAUCAAAACCAGUGACAGCUUUGACAGGUUUGAGUUCUGUGAGCCGUCGUUUGUUGUGGGGAACUGUCUGGAAAUUCCUCUAGAGAGCCGCCAGUAUGACAGAGUGUACUGUGGGGCUGGAGUGCAGAAAGAAUAUGAGAACUACAUGAAGAAUCUGCUGAAGGUUGGAGGAAUCUUAGUGCUGCCACUGGAAGAGAAGUUGACCAAGAUCACACGCAGUGGUCAAAACUCCUGGGAGACAAAGAAAAUCAUAGCUGUGACUUUCGCUCCUCUGGUGCAGCCCAAACAAAGCAUUAAUGGGAGAGGCAAAAGUGUGCCACUACAAAUCCCAGCCCCACUUUGCAGUGAACAAGGAUGACCUGUAUAUCAUCUUCAUGAGGAUGGUGGACUAUUUCAGCAUGAUUAGUGUGAUGCCAUGACUUGACUGACAGUAGCAUCAUUUUUGGAUGUUUUCCAACAUUGCUGAUCCAAGUGCAAAUGUACAGAAAAAGUUGCACAAGGUGUCCUCCUAUAGCCUGCACAGCAAAGCGAACAAGGUUUCACAACCUCAGGAAUUUCCAUGACAUACAAGGCAAGUUUUGUUUUUACUGGUGAGCUUACUUUUUGUGCUUUUUAAAUGCUUUAAACAUUUACUGUUUUUUUGUUCUUUUCCAGGGGGUGCACAGUAGCUUAGUGGUUAGCACGUUCCCCUCACACUGCCAGGGUUGGGGGUUUGAUUCCCACCGCUGCCCUGUGUGUGCAGAGCUUGCAUGUUCUCCCUGUGUAGUGGGGGUUUCCUCCGGGUACUCCGGUUUCCUCCCCCAGUCCAAAGACAUGCAUGGUAGGCUGAUUGGCAUGUCCAAAGUGUCCGUAGUAUAUGAAUGGGUGUGAGAACGUGUAUAUGAUUGUGCGCUGCGAUGGAUUGGCACCCUCUCCAGUGUGUACCCUGCUUUGUGCCCGAUGCUCCAUGGGAUAGGCUUGAGGUUCCCCAUGACCCUGAAGGAUAAGUGGUAUAGAAGAUGAAUGGAUGGAUGGAUUGUUCUUUUCCUUUUGUCAGGAAUAUAUUCAGUCAUUCAUUCUCACUGAUUUAUCUUUAGUAAACACUAUCCCGUUCAGCAUUGUGGUGAAUCUGGACCCUAUUGUGAGAACACUGGGUACAAGGAAGAAAUACCAGUCCAUCUCAGGGAACCAUGCACAGACACAUUUUGCAAUUUAUAAUAGCCAUUCUACAUCCUGUCAAGUUUAUGGGUGGUGGGAGGAAAAAAAUAUACAUGUGGAGAACAAAACUCCAUAAAGUUCUUUAAAACAAUGAACAUGCAACGUUUUCCAAAGAUUGUUUCUGGCAGUUCUCAAUAGUUCUGGAGAAGCAUAAAGUGGGCAAACAUAUUUACACGUUCAAUGCUUAUUUUCCCCAUUGUAAGUGGAGUGGCCCAUAAAUGCAAAACAAAAAACACAACAGCAAAUCUAGAAACACGAUUGUAAUUCAGAAAACAUAACAGCAAAUUUGGAAACAACUGCAAAGCACCUCAUUAACUCAAAUUGGAAAAGGGUAGCUACUUAUUGAACAUCACGUGCUUGUUAAUGAUUCGACACAGUAUAUUACUAUCUCAAAGGAAAAUUGCACUAUUUCUGUCUAUAUAGUUAGCCUAUUGAAAACUUUUUUUAAACAGUUACUUAUGUUUUUAUAGUGAGGAGUAAUUCUUUCAUACUUUAGGCAUAUUUUUGGCAUUCACAUACUUAUUAAUGCCUAGCAAAUUUGACAACAUAUCUAAAAUAUAUGAAUGAACACAUUUGCUUAAAAAUUAGCACGAAUAAAACUGUAACUCCCUGGCUGUCAUGAGGGGAAUGAUGACUCGGAAGGAAGGCGUGAGAGAGAGCGUGGAUCUGUUUAUUUUGCUUUUAGCCAUGCUUUUCAGCAUGAAAGAACAUCUAGCCAAAAAAGAAACCGAACUGUAAUUUUCACAUGCAUCUGUGGACCACCUCACAUCUGAAUAGCUGAAGUGCCAGAAACCAACAAGUGAUCCGUGCUUUGCCAUCUUUCAUACAAUGGAGCCACUGGACUGGGGACCCUCUCCGAUAUUUUCUGUCAGGAUGGGCCUUCACUCUCUGUUUGGAUCACACCUCCAUUCUUAAAGCUGAGAGAUGGUCUCUACAGUGGGUCAAGAUGGAUUUAGCCACGUUUUAAAUUCACCUCUGGUCCCAGCUCCUCCCACUCAGGAGCUACCAUCACCAAUGCCACAGGGAAAGCUUUUCUCCAUGUUUUUCACGUGUUUUUCACCAUAUACAGUGGUAUAUUUGUAGUGCUCUCCCUCGAGUUGUUUAUCUUACCUCAUACUCAAGGUCUCAGACUCGCCCUGUGAGAGUAAUUUGGAGCACGACAUAGCUAAUAAUAUGAGCACUCACACAGCAGAGUACCUCUAUUACACAGCCAGGACUGCCGUUCUCCAACCUGUAGGAAAUACUCCUGUGUUUGUUAGCGAAAUGCUCUUGGGUCAAAACAUACUGAAAUUCAUUCUUACUCAGUGACGAUCCCUCCUCCCUGGAAGACAUCUAAGGUGCUGUGGUGCUUACAGACCUACAGUAAGUCAGUGUAAUUAGCCAAAUUAGGAGAACCCUGUGGAGGCUUGUGGGACCUCUUAUACUGUGAAUAACAGCGGUUCGAAACACUUCUCCGACUUCCGAGAGCGUAUUUAAAAAGUUGGAUCUUUUAAUCUUUAGAGCGCUGCAGUACUGCCAUUGCACUAAAAGUAUUAUCAACAUAUUGCACAUGAAUUCUGUUAAAAUCUGUAUAAAGUUUUGGUGAUAGAAUGAGAAAUAGGCAUUUAAGCACAGGCCUACAUCUGGGUGGGAAAUCUAUGGUUAACUGGAUAAAUGCAUGAAUGCUCAGGUGUAUCUAAUAAAGUGGUCAGUGAGUGUAUAUCAAGUGAGUGUUCCCAUCCUUUUUUAUAAGAUGCAAAUGUUAUGGGAACCUUGUGACAUUCAGCCAGGUUUGUAUCCAUAGGUUAUAGUAACAGGUUUGUACAGUGAUGGUUCAGAGAGUAUUCCCCAAAUGAUAGGAGCACAUAAUCAGAACCAUCCUGGGUUAGUGGAAGGUUCCUAUAAUUUAAAACUUUGCUGGACCGUUCCCAUGCUAUCAAAAUAGCGGAUGCAACUGGGGUUUAGUCUCAGCCUGUGACCCAAUGUUCCUGAAAUUCUAAGUUAAAGACAAUGAUAUAGUACAUAUUAUAUAGUAGACCUUGGCAGUAUGACAAAAACUAUCAUAUCAAAAUAUCACAUUUCUACACACACACACCAUUAUAUAUAUAUAAACAUUAUAUAUAUACACACACACACACACACACAGUAAUUUGCUGUCCCUUCAAAAUAACUCAACACAGCCAUUAAUGUCUAAACCGCUGGCAACAAAAGUGAGUACACCCCUAAGUGAAAAUGUCCAGCUUGUUGCCAGCGGUUUAGACAUUAAUGGCUGUGUGUAGAGUUAUUUUGAGGGGACAGCAAAUUUACACUGUUACACAAGCUGUACACUCACUACUUUACAUU